GGUAAACGAGACCGUUUGUAAAACAAAAGUUCCAAAAAAACACGUGAGGAAAAGAUUGUGAACUUUGACGCUAGUUUCGGAUAGUGAAAGGGAAAGAUUUGAGUUGCAGAUAGAGCCGAACCCAUUCAAAACACAGGCGUUGAGUUUUCUUAUCUCGACUGAGAUUGUCGAGAGCUAGGUUUCAAAACCCUAUCAUCAUAGGGUUUUUUGGUGGAGUGGAUCAGCUGUAAAACCCCGCAUCGAGGAUCCUUACUCGGACGCCGUUCGUCGCGAUCGCAGUGACCUGCAUGUGAUUGCCACGUGUCCCGAAGUUGCUAAGCGUGAACCUUUGGCUUUCUGAACCGGCGUGAACCGCAUCCAAGCUAACGAAUAGCCUCCAAUCGAACACACCGCUUCCACGCUUAUACGAAUUCUGCGUCGAUCGCACCCAAGCAAUCGCCGGUGUCCUUAGCGUCCGCAUUCUGCGACGACUGACAGCAAAAGUGUUUCCUACCGGCCAGAAAGGGUACAGCCAGUGUCUCCAACACCACUUUCACGGUGCGAUACCGUCCCUACACACGCUGCGGACACGUAUUCGUACAACUGGUCGCCAUACAAAAGAAUUCGGCACGUGUCACGAGCCCCGCCGAGAUCGCUUCACUUGUGCGGACCGCCAACGUUUGCCAACCGUGUCGACGACGGGCAAGUGUUUUAUCAUCGAUCGAAGUGUCUCCAAUUUUCAACGCUCGGCCGCAGAGCGAUCAUUCUCAGCCGGCGCACCGCUGGCGUUCGCAUACCGCACCAUUGGCUGCUCUUCUGCGCCUACGGCUGGUGCUUUCUCCUCAUCAUCAACAAUAGCUCAUCGUAGCCCCCUCGUCGGCUGACAAUACGACGC